rnacentral:rRNA from 1 species
CUACGGAGGGUGCAAGCGUUAAUCGGAAUUACUGGGCGUAAAGGGCGCGUAGGCGGUCUAUCAAGUCAGGUGUGAAAUCCCACGGCUCAACCGUGGAGGUGCAUCUGAAACUGAUAGACUUGAGUAUGGGAGAGGAAAGUGGAAUUCCCGGUGUAGAGGUGAAAUUCGUAGAUAUCGGGAGGAACACCAGUGGCGAAGGCGACUUUCUGGACCAAUACUGACGCUGAGGCGCGAAAGCGUGGGGAGCAAACAGGAUUAGAUACCCUAGUAGUCC